rnacentral:rRNA from 1 species
GACAGAGGGUGCAAACGUGUUCGGAAUUACUGGCGUAAAGCGAGUGUAGGCGGUCUGAAAAGUCGGGUGUGAAAGCCCCGGGCUCAACCCGGGAAGUGCACUCGAAACUGCCAGGCUAGAGUAUCGGAGAGGUUGGUGGAAUUCUCGGUGUAGAGGUGAAAUUCGUAGAUAUCGAGAGGAACACCGGCGGCGAAGGCGGCCAACUGGACGGAAUACUGACGCUGAGACUCGAAAGCGUGGGGAGCAAACAGG